GGAUUGCUCAGCUGGUAGAGCACGCGACUCUUAAUCUCAGGGUAGUGGGUUUGAGCCCCAUGUUGGGCA